CUUGCAGGGUGGAUUAGUGGCGAACGGGUGAGUAACACGUGAGUAACCUGCCCCCGACUCUGGGAUAAGCCCGGGAAACUGGGUCUAAUACCGGAUAUGACUUCCUACUGCAUGGUGGGUUGUUGAAAGAUUUAUCGGUGGGGGAUGGACUCGCGGCCUAUCAGCUUGUUGGUGAGGUAAUGGCUCACCAAGGCGACGACGGGUAGCCGGCCUGAGAGGGUGACCGGCCACACUGGGACUGAGACACGGCCCAGACUCCUACGGGAGGCAGCAGUGGGGAAUAUUGCACAAUGGGCGGAAGCCUGAUGCAGCGACGCCGCGUGAGGGAUGACGGCCUUCGGGUUGUAAACCUCUUUCAGUAGGGAAGAAGCGAAAGUGACGGUACCUGCAGAAGAAGCGCCGGCUAACUACGUGCCAGCAGCCGCGGUAAUACGUAGGGCGCAAGCGUUAUCCGGAUUUAUUGGGCGUAAAGAGCUCGUAGGCGGUUUGUCGCGUCUGCCGUGAAAGUCCGAGGCUCAACCUCGGAUCUGCGGUGGGUACGGGCAGACUAGAGUGAUGUAGGGGAGACUGGAAUUCCUGGUGUAGCGGUGAAAUGCGCAGAUAUCAGGAGGAACACCGAUGGCGAAGGCAGGUCUCUGGGCAUUUACUGACGCUGAGGAGCGAAAGCAUGGGGAGCGAACAGGAUUAGAUACCCUGGUAGUCCAUGCCGUAAACGUUGGGCACUAGGUGUGGGGGACAUUCCACGUUUUCCGCGCCGUAGCUAACGCAUUAAGUGCCCCGCCUGGGGAGUACGGCCGCAAGGCUAAAACUCAAAGGAAUUGACGGGGGCCCGCACAAGCGGCGGAGCAUGCGGAUUAAUUCGAUGCAACGCGAAGAACCUUACCAAGGCUUGACAUGUGCCAGACCGCUCCAGAGAUGGGUUUCCCUUCGGGGCUGGUUCACAGGUGGUGCAU
rnacentral:rRNA from 1 species